GACGAACGCUGGCGGCGUGCUUAACACAUGCAAGUCGUACGGUAAGGCCCUUUCGGGGGUACACGAGUGGCGAACGGGUGAGUAACACGUGAGUAACCUGCCCACAACUUUGGGAUAACGCUAGGAAACUGGUGCUAAUACUGGAUAUGUGCUCCUGCUGCAUGGUGGGGGUUGGAAAGCUCCGGCGGUUGUGGAUGGACUCGCGGCCUAUCAGCUUGUUGGUGGGGUAGUGGCCUACCAAGGCGGCGACGGGUAGCCGGCCUGAGAGGGUGACCGGCCACAGUGGGACUGAGAGACGGCCCAGACUCCUACGGGAGGCAGCAGUGGGGAAUAUUGCACAAUGGGCGCAAGCCUGAUGCAGCAACGCCGCGGGCGGGAUGACGGCCUUCGGGUUGUAAACCGCUUUCAGCAGGGACGAAGCUUUUUGUGACGGUACCUGCAGAAGAAGCACCGGCUAACUACGUG
rnacentral:rRNA from 1 species